GUUUUCAGCUGUGCCUCAGAUGAUAGAGCUGGGGACCCCCCACACCCUGCCAAGCUGCUUUUGGAGACGUUGUGUGCCCUCCAGUCUCCACCAGUGCUGCAGCCCUUCUGAAUUAAACCACCGUAGGCUUGGCUGGAACCUGAAACCCUCUGACCUGACGGACAUCAAGCUUUUCCGCUGAAUCAGAGCAGGCCUUGUGGAGACUGCCCCGCUCAGAAGUAGGCGGUGACACCACUGGGGACUUGGUCCUGUGCUGGCCACCAGGCCGCUGAGUUAUCCCAAGGGCCUGCACUCGGUGCAGAGGCCCCAUUCCCACCUGGAGGGCCCUCAGCCUUCAGGAUUCCCUGAACCCCGGAGCAAAAUAAGGCACCUCCACCCCAUCCCCUGGGCCCUGCGCUCUUCUGAUGCCUGCUAGAUUCCCACCCAGCCCUGCCGUCUAGACACAAGGUCCCUGCUGCAAGGGAAACCUGGCUUUCCAUGGAAGGCACUCUACCCACGGUUCUUUCUCCUCGAUUCCUGAUCUCAAGGCAAGGAAGAGUGGUUCCCACUGACACUUCUCACACCCUCAUCUCACGAUUUCUUUAGUCUUCCGGCUCUGAUAACCAUUUCCGUACCAGCCACACAUAGAAAAUAAGGCUUAUUUCCUGCGCUCCACCCACCGUCACAAACAAGAGAAGGACUUCCAGCCAGUGCUCCCGACAAACCCCAUGGCUAUUGACUUCUUCCCGACUUAGCUGCUCAAGACAGUCACAAAUCUAGGAUUGGGUCCAUUAUGUAUUCAAGCCCCCUAACCUCAGAGGGAACCGCACAACUGCUCAGUUAUCUCUAUAAUCGCCCCUGGCUGAUUCACCUGUCACGUCCCUACAGGCUCCCAUUUUAACACCUGCCGGUCCUCAGGAGCACCUACCUUCUCCAUUGCCUCCUCUCUGAGUUUGUGCCCUUGCCACCAAAAUAGCUGACAAAAUGGAGAUCAGCUAUGAGCUAUCUCAGUAUCCUCUUAGUGACUUCAAAAUAGUUCUGCUUCUCCACUCAUUCCCCUCCUUCCCUCCUAUUUCAAAAGAAGCAGCAGCUUCUAAACCACAAUGAGAUACCACCUCACACCAUCAAGAUGACUACUAUCAAAAAACCAGAAAAUAACAAGCGAUGGCAAAGAUGUGGAGAAAAUGGGAGCCUUGUGCGCUGUUGGUGGGAAUGUAAAAUGGUGCAGCCCUUGUGGAAAACAUAUGGCAAAAAGUUAAAAAUAGAAUUACUAUAUGAUCCACAAUCCAACUUCUAGUUGUAUAUCCAAAAGACCUGAAAGCAGGGUCUCAAAGAGAUAUCUGUAUACCCACAUUCAUUGUGACAUCAUUCACGACAGC
rnacentral:lncRNA from 1 species